rnacentral:rRNA from 1 species
UAGGGAAUUUUCCGCAAUGGGCGAAAGCCUGACGGAGCAACGCCGCGUGCAGGAGGAAGGCCUUCGGGUUGUAAACUGCUUUUAUCUGUGACGAUUAUGACGGUAGCAGAAGAAUAAGGAUCGGCUAAUUCCGUGCCAGCAGCCGCGGUCAUACGGAAGAUCCGAGCGUUAUCCGGAAUUACUGGGCGUAAAGAGUUGCGUAGGUGGCAUAGUAAGCGAGCAGUGAAAGAUCCCGGCUCAACCGGGGGUACAUUGUUCGAACUACUAAGCUUGAGCAUGAGAGAGGUAGAUGGAAUUUCUAGUGUAGGAGUGAAAUCCGUAGAUAUUAGAAGGAACACCGAUGGCGUAGGCAGUCUACUGGCUCAUUGCUGACACUAAGGCACGAAAGCGUGGGGAGCGAACGGG